rnacentral:rRNA from 1 species
AUUGAACGCUGGCGGCAUGCCUUACACAUGCAAGUCGAACGGCAGCACGGGUGCUUGCACCUGGUGGCGAGUGGCGAACGGGUGAGUAAUACAUCGGAACGUACCUUAUCGUGGGGGAUAACGCAGCGAAAGCUGUGCUAAUACCGCAUACGCCCUGAGGGGGAAAGCGGGGGAUCGAAAGACCUCGCGCGAUUAGAGCGGCCGAUGCCUGAUUAGCUUGUUGGUGGGGUAAAAGCCCACCAAGGCGACGAUCAGUAGCUGGUCUGAGAGGACGAACAGCCACACGGGGACUGAGACACGGCCCAGACUCCUACGGGAGGCAGCAGUGGGGAAUUGUGGACAAUGGGGGCAACCCUGAUCCAGCAAUGCCGCGUGAGUGAAGAAGGCCUUCGGGUUGUAAAGCUCUUUUGUCGGGGAAGAAACACCGGCUCUAACACAGUCCGGGAAUGACGGUACCUGAAGAAUAAGCACCGGCUAACUACGUGCCAGCAGCCGCCGUAA